rnacentral:rRNA from 1 species
UAUACAUGCAAGUACGAGACGCGCCCUUCGGGGUGAGCGGCGGACGGGUGAGUAACGCGUGGGAAUAUGCCCUUCUCUAAGGAAUAGCCUCUGGAAACGGAGAGUAAUACCUUAUACGCCCUUUGGGGGAAAGAUUUAUCGGAGAAGGAUUAGCCCGCGUUAGAUUAGGUAGUUGGUGGGGUAAUGGCCUACCAAGCCUACGAUCUAUAGCUGGUUUGAGAGGAUGAUCAGCCACACUGGGACUGAGACACGGCCCAGACUCCUACGGGAGGCAGCAGUAGGGAAUCUUAGACAAUGGGGGCAACCCUGAUCUAGCCAUGCCGCGUGUGUGAUGAAGGCCCUAGGGUCGUAAAGCACUUUCGCCAGAGAUGAUAAUGACAGUAUCUGGUAAAGAAACCCCGGCUAACUCCGUGCCAGCAGCCGCGGUAAUACGGAGGGGGUUAGCGUUGUUCGGAAUUACUGGGCGUAAAGCGCACGUAGGCGGAUUAGUAAGUUAGAGGUGAAAUCCCAGGGCUCAACCCUGGAACUGCCUUUAAUACUGCUAGUCUUGAGUUCGAGAGAGGUAAGUGGAAUUCCGAGUGUAGAGGUGAAAUUCGUAGAUAUUCGGAGGAACACCAGUGGCGAAGGCGGCUUACUGGCUCGAUACUGACGCUGAGGUGCGAAAGUGUGGGGAGCAAACAGGAUUAGAUACC